rnacentral:snoRNA from 1 species
ACCUCAUGAUAUGGGCAUUGGGUUAGCUUUCCAUUAAAGCUCUCCCAUGGUUCAAACAAUGGUUCCAUAUUUAAUUUUUGGAAACUUACAAUAUCAUCCUGGUUUU